rnacentral:tRNA from 1 species
AGAUUGUAGGGGAAAAUG